CGCCGCGGUUAUACGGGUGGCCCAGGUUGAUACUUUUCGGCGUAAAGAGUGGUUAGGAAACACAUAGGACUAAAGCUGAACCCCUUCAAAGCUGUUGUACGUGCUCGAAGGGAAGAAGCCCGACUACGAAGGUGGCUUUAUAACCCCUGACCCCACGAAAGCUAAGACA
rnacentral:rRNA from 1 species